rnacentral:rRNA from 1 species
CGGGGUGAGUAACGCGUGAGUAACCUGCCUUCAAGAGGGGGAGUAACAUUCUGAAAAGAAUGCUAAUACCGCAUGACAUAUCGGAACCACAUGGUUUUGAUAUCAAAGAUUUUAUCGCUUGAAGAUGGACUCGCGUCCGAUUAGUUAGUUGGUGAGGUAACGGCUCACCAAGACCGCGAUCGGUAGCCGGACUGAGAGGUUGAACGGCCACAUUGGGACUGAGACACGGCCCAGACUCCUACGGGAGGCAGCAUG